GAAACUCAAAUGAAUUGACGGGGCCCGCACAAGCGGUGGAGCAUGUGGUUUAAUUCGAUGCAACGCGAAGAACCUUACCUGGGCUUGACAUCCCGGGAAUCCCUUGGAAACAAGGGAGUGCCCUUCGGGGAACCUGGAGACAGGUGCUGCAUGGCUGUCGUCAGCUCGUGUCGUGAGAUGUAGGGUUAAGUCCCGCAACGAGCGCAACCCUUGUCUUUAAUUGCCAUCAUUUGGUUGGGCACUCUAAUGAGACUGCCGGUGACAAACCGGAGGAAGGUGGGGAUGACGUCAAGUCCUCAUGGCCCUUAUGGGUAGGGCUUCACACGUCAUACAAUGGUCGGUACAGAGGGUUGCCAACCCGCGAGGGGGAGCUAAUCCCACAAAGCCGAUCGUAGUCCGGAUCGCAGUCUGCAACUCGACUGCGUGAAGUCGGAAUCGCUAGUAAUCGUGGAUCAGCAUGUCACGGUGAAUACGUUCCCGGGUCUU
rnacentral:rRNA from 1 species